UGUCGGCUCAUCACAUCCUGGGGCUGAAGUAGGUCCCAAGGGUAUGGCUGUUCGCCAUUUAAAGUGGUACGCGAGCUGGGUUUAGAACGUCGUGAGACAGUUCGGUCCCUAUCUGCCGUGGGCGCUGGAGAACUGAGGGGGGCUGCUCCUAGUACGAGAGGACCAGAGUGGACGCAUCACUGGUGUUCGGGUUGUCAUGCCAAUGGCACUGCCCGGUAGCUAAAUGCGGAAGAGAUAAGUGCUGAAAGCAUCUAAGCACGAAACUUGCCCCGAGAUGAGUUCUCCCUGACCCUUUAAGGGUCCUGAAGGAACGUUGAAGACGACGACGU
rnacentral:rRNA from 1 species